GUUGACCUCGGAUCAGGUAGGAAUACCCGCUGAACUUAAGCAUAUCAAUAAGCGGAGGAAAAGAAACCAACAGGGAUUGCCCCAGUAACGGCGAGUGAAGCGGCAACAGCUCAAAUUUGAAAUCUGGCCCCAGGCCCGAGUUGUAAUUUGCAGAGGAUGCUUUUGGCGCGGUGCCUUCCGAGUUCCCUGGAACGGGACGCCAUAGAGGGUGAGAGCCCCGUACGGUUGGACACCAAGCCUUUGUAAAGCUCCUUCGACGAGUCGAGUAGUUUGGGAAUGCUGCUCUAAAUGGGAGGUACAUUUCUUCUAAAGCUAAAUAUUUGGCCAGAGACCGAUAGCGCACAAGUAGAGUGAUCGAAAGAUGAAAAGCACUUUGAAAAGAGGGUUAAACAGCACGUGAAAUUGUUAAAAGGGAAGCGCUUGUGACCAGACUUGCGUCCGGUGAAUCACCCAGCUCUCGCGGCUGGGGCACUUCGCCGGCACAGGCCAGCAUCAGCUUGCCGUCGGGGACAAAAGCUUCAGGAACGUGGCUCCUCUCGGGGAGUGUUAUAGCCUGUUGCAUAAUACCCUUCGGCGGGCUGAGGUACGCGCUCCGCAA
rnacentral:rRNA from 1 species